UACAGAGGGGGCAAGCGUUGUUCGGAAUUACUGGGCGUAAAGGGCGCGUAGGCGGCCUGCUAAGUCGAACGUGAAAUCCCCAGGCUCAACCUGGGAACUGCGUCCGAUACUGACAGGCUUGAAUCCGGGAGAGUGAUGUGGAAUUCCAGGUGUAGCGGUGAAAUGCGUAGAUAUCUGGAGGAACACCGGUGGCGAAGGCGGCAUCCUGGACCGGUAUUGACGCUGAGGCGCGAAAGCUAGGGUAGCAAACGGG
rnacentral:rRNA from 1 species